CCCUUCAGAGGGGGACAACAGUUGGAAACGACUGCUAAUACCGCAUACGAUCUAAUCUCGGCAUCGAGGAUGGAUGAAAGGUGGCCCCUAUUUAUAAGCUAUCACUGAAGGAGGGGAUUGCGUCUGAUUAGCUAGUUGGAGGGGUAACGGCCCACCAAGGCGAUGAUCAGUAGCCGGUCUGAGAGGAUGAACGGCCACAUUGGGACUGAGACACGGCCCAG
rnacentral:rRNA from 1 species